rnacentral:rRNA from 1 species
GACGAACGCUGGCGGCGUGCCUAAUACAUGCAAGUCGAACGCAGUGGGGACGGGUGAGUAACACGUGGGUAACCUCCCCUCAGAGGGGAUAACACUUGGAAACUGGUGCUAAACCGCUACUGAUGUAUGAACCCGCGGUGCAUUAGCUAGUUGGGGAGGUAACGGCUCACCAAGGCCACGAUGCAUAGCUGGUCUGAGAGGGUGAGCGGCCACACUGGAACUGAGACACGGCCCAGACUCCUACGGGAGGCAGCAGUAGGGAAUCUUGGGCAAUGGACGAAAGUCUGACCGAGCAACGCCGCGUGAGUGAAGAAGGUUUUCGGAGCGUAAAGCUCUGUUGUUAGGGAAGCGGUAUCUAACCAGAAAGCAACGGCUAACUACGUGCCAGCAGCCGCGGUAAUUC